UACGAAGGGGGCUAGCGUUGCUCGGAAUCACUGGGCGUAAAGGGUGCGUAGGCGGGUCUUUAAAUCAAGGGUGAAAUCCUGGAGCUCAACUCCAGAACUGCCUUUGAUACUGAAGAUCUUGAGUUCGGGAGAGGUGAGUGGAACUGCGAGUGUAGAGGUGAAAUUCGUAGAUAUUCGCAAGAACACCAGUGGCGAAGGCGGCUCACUGGCCCGAUACUGACGCUGAGGCACGAAAGCGUGGGGAGCAAACAGG
rnacentral:rRNA from 1 species